rnacentral:tRNA from 1 species
GGAGAGGUGCCCGGAGUGGCUUAUCGGGGGCCGGAGCAGCUUCGGCCGGGUCAUCGGCCCACGCAGGUUCGAAUCCUGCCCUCUCCG